ACACGACUACAUUAGAUACCCCCGUAGUCCUAGCCGUAAACGAUACUCGCUAGGUGUCGGCCACGGUGCGACCGUUGUCGGUGCCGUAGGGAAGCCGUGAAGCGAGCCACCUGGGAAGUACGGUCGCAAGGCUGAAACUUAAAGGAAUUGGCGGGGAGCACCACAACAGGUGGAGCCUGCGGUUUAAUUGGACUCAACGCCGGAAAUCUCACCGGAUAGGACAGACAUAUGAUAGUCGGGCUGAAGACUCUACUUGAUGAUCUG
rnacentral:rRNA from 1 species